UACGUAGGGUGCAAGCGUUGUCCGGAAUUAUUGGGCGUAAUGGGCUCGUAGGCGGUCCAUCGCGUCGGGAGUGAAAAGCUGGGGCUUAACCCCAGUCCUGCUUCCGAUACGGGUGGACUAGAGGUAGGCAGGGGAGAACGGAAUUCCUGGUGUAGCGGUGAAAUGCGCAGAUAUCAAGUGGAACACCAGUGGCGAAGGCGGUUCUCUGGGCAUUACCUGACGCUGAGGAGCGAAAGUGUGGGGAGCGAACAGG
rnacentral:rRNA from 1 species